CUAUGCGUAUCGAAUGAAAAAAGAGGAUUGAACCAGAUGUCUCUCUUACCGGAUGCAGUCAGAUUACUAUCGAUCGAGGGAUGCGAUCUCCUGAUAACACGGAAGCUUUUUGAAAGCGCAUACAAGUGAAACGAUGAUCGCUGAAGCAAGGGAAGCGCGUAUACGGACACCUGACGGAUGAUGCACAUAGAGUUGAAAAUUCUCGGGCUUUUGGCUCGAGGCCAUGUGAAGAUAGGGGCACAACAGGAACGACAGCAAUGCCACACGCCUCGUGUUUCGUUGAUGAAUAAUUAUUUUCAAGAGUAUGCAUUCUUCACCAGGCAUUUCUACUAUUCAUUGAAGAGAAGAAGAAUCCAUGGAAAUGGCUCGAUACGAUCUACCAUAGCAUCAGGCACAUUGUUUCGUACAUUCGCUAAGUCGGUCUUGAAAAUCUUAUUACAACGUGGUUCUUGAGAAAUCGUUGUUUCGCGUGCAUCAUUAAAUAUUUUCCUGGAAGAAUCUGUCAAGAAGAAAAUUGAAGG